rnacentral:rRNA from 1 species
AGUGAACGCUGGCGGUAGGCCUAACACAUGCAAGUCGAACGGCAGCACAGUAAGAGCUUGCUCUUACGGGUGGCGAGUGGCGGACGGGUGAGGAAUACAUCGGAAUCUACUUUUUCGUGGGGGAUAACGUAGGGAAACUUACGCUAAUACCGCAUACGACCUACGGGUGAAAGCAGGGGAUCUUCGGACCUUGCGCGAUUGAAUGAGCCGAUGUCGGAUUAGCUAGUUGGCGAGGUAAAGGCCCACCAAGGCGACGAUCCGUAGCUGGUCUGAGAGGAUGAUCAGCCACACUGGAACUGAGACACGGUCCAGACUCCUACGGGAGGCAGCAGUGGGGAAUAUUGGACAAUGGGCGCAAGCCUGAUCCAGCCAUUCCGCGUGGGUGAAGAAGGCCUUCGGGUUGUAAAGCCCUUUUGUUGGGAAAGAAAAGCAGCAGGUUAAUACCCCGCUGUUCUGACGGUACCCAAAGAAUAAGCACCGGCUAACUUCGU